rnacentral:snRNA from 2 species
AUACCUUUCUCGGUUUUUUGGCUAAGAUCAAGUGUAGUAUCUGUUUUUAUCAGUUUAAUAUCUGAUAUGUAGGCCAUCGGUCCACACGAUAUUAACUCUAUUUUUUAGGGAGAAAACCCACUAAGAUAGCUUGCUAUCUGGACUUUCAAUAGUCGUCCAUGCGUUGCACUGCUGCAUGGACCUGGCUCAACCCAU